GGGAAAACCGGUUUUCUCUCCCAACUUUUCCCUUUUUUUUCUGUUUUUUAAAAACUAAACCGACAACAUCGUUCCUCUUCCUCCCUCUCUUCUUUCUCUUCAUGCAAAUCCUCCUAAAAACGUCGUGAGGAGCGGAGAUAUCCUCCGUGUCUGAAUCUGCAUCAGCGUUGGUUUCCAUAUCCACUGCAGGGGCGGAGUCCUCCUCUGUGAAGACAGUAACGUGCUCGCAUCCCCAGUUUGCGCAACAGCUUGCGGAAGCUCUUGUUGUCCAUGGCGUCCUCGUUGGCCUCUGUCAGAGGAACAAGUGGCACAGGCUGGGACAAACCU